AUUUUCACAUGUUGUUUUAAUAUGAGCAAGGGAAGAAAUAUUAUUGUGAUUACGUUCACUUGGCUCUUUUUGUCCUAAAAAAAUGAGUAUUUCUUAAAAGUUAUGGCUUUUGUAUUAGUGAUUAUCUUUCUCAAGGAAUAGAUCUUUCUGGAAUAGAAGUGAUAGAAAAUGAUCUACUUUUUAUUGCAAGAGCCCGACUUGAAGUGGAAAAUCAAGCUAAGCGCCUACUAGAGCAGGGUUUGGAGACUCAGAAUCCAACUCAAGUCGGAACAGCUCUUCAGGUUUUCUAUAAUCUUGGAACUUUGAAGGAUACUAUUACCAGUGUUGUGGAUGGAUAUUGUGCUACUUUAGAAGAAAAUAUCAACAGUGCAUUAGACAUAAAAGUUUUGACUCAGCCUUCCCAGUCAGCUGUGAGAGGGGGACCUGGACGAUCUACCAUGCCAACCCCAGGAAAUACUGCAGCUUUGCGUGCCUCACUCUGGACCAAUAUGGAGAAACUUAUGGAUCAUAUUUAUGCUGUUUGUGGACAGGUACAACAUCUACAAAAAGUAUUGGCCAAGAAGAGAGAUCCUG
rnacentral:sRNA from 1 species